CGUGUAGGCGGCUUGGUAAGUCGGAUGUGAAAGUCCCGGGCUCAACCCGGGAAGUGCAUUCGAAACUGCUAGGCUUGAGUAAGAGAGAGGAAAGUGGAAUUCCUGGAGUAGAGGUGAAAUUCGUAGAUAUCAGGAGGAACACCGGUGGCGAAGGCGACUUUCUGGCUCUAUACUGACGCUGAGACGCGAAAGCGUGGGUAGCAAACAGGAUUAGAUACCCUGGUAGUCC
rnacentral:rRNA from 1 species